rnacentral:rRNA from 1 species
UACAGAGACUGCAAGCGUUAUCCGGAUUUACUGGGUUUAAAGGGUGCGUAGGUGGGUAGGUAAGUCAGUGGUGAAAUCUUCGAGCUUAACUCGGAAACUGCCAUUGAUACUAUUUAUCUUGAAUACUCUGGAGGUAAGCGGAAUAUGUCAUGUAGCGGUGAAAUGCUUAGAUAUGACAUAGAACACCAAUUGCGAAGGCAGCUUACUACAUAGUUAUUGACACUGAGGCACGAAAGCGUGGGGAUCAAACAGG